UACGUAGGGUGCGAGCGUUAAUCGGAAUAACUGGGCGUAAAGCGUGCGCAGGCGGUCUGUUAAGACCGAUGUGAAAUCCCCGGGCUUAACCUGGGAACUGCAUUGGUGACUGGCAGGCUUUGAGUGUGGCAGAGGGAGGUAGAAUUCCACGUGUAGCAGUGAAAUGCGUAGAGAUGUGGAGGAAUACCGAUGGCGAAGGCAGCCUCCUGGGCCAACACUGACGCUCAUGCACGAAAGCGUGGGGAGCAAACAGG
rnacentral:rRNA from 1 species